rnacentral:rRNA from 1 species
AUGGCUAACUAUGUGCCAGCAGCCGCGGUAAUACAUAGGUCGCAAGCGUUAUCCGGAAUUAUUGGGCGUAAAGCGUUCGUAGGCUGUUUAUUAAGUCUGGAGUCAAAUCCCAGGGCUCAACCCUGGCUCGCUUUGGAUACUGGUAAACUAGAGUUAGAUAGAGGUAAGCGGAAUUCCAUGUGAAGCGGUGAAAUGCGUAGAUAUAUGGAAGAACACCAAAG